ACAUACAUGCAGUUGAUUUGAUCGAAAAGAGAAGCGAUUCUUUUCCAGGUCCAGGUAUUGCUGAAAAUUAUCCACCUAUUGAUGAACCAUCAACAAGUGGAGUACAGAAGAGGACAGAAAUCAAAGAAUUCCUAGAUGAGACAAUACAGAACCAAAAUACUGUUCUUACUCUAGAUCCAAGCAAAAAACGAGAGAUUGUAAUGAAGGAGAUUUUUAUGAAAUUGGAAUCAUUAGAUGAUGAAGAUUUUGAUAAUAUUGUGGAAAAUAUCAACAAGCAAUAUGACACACUACAAAAGAAUAAAUAUCAGAGAGGGAAAAAAAGGAAAAUUGAAAAACAAUUUUAUUACCCCACUAAAAAGUAGAAUCUCUGAACAUAUUGAAAAUGAAAGUGGUGAUGGAGUGCUGUUUUACUUUAGGAAAAUUUAUUAUUACUUUUCGCUUAUUUCUUUUGAAUUUAUGUAAUGUAUAAUAUUUUAUGCCUUGUAUUUUUUUAUAUGUUCUCGGU